GGGAAGCCGGUGGGAAUCCGGGACUGCCCCGCAACGGUGUGCGGACGCCUGGAGGCGUGCCCGCGAGUCCGAGUACC
rnacentral:ncRNA from 2 species